CAGUCGAACGCACUUUUCGUUUAUUGAUUUUGAGAUGCUUGCAUCGAAGAUGAUUUUAACUAUAAAGUGAGUGGCGAACGGGUGAGUAACACGUGGGUAACCUGCCCAGAAGUGGGGGUUAACACCUGGAAACAGAUGCUAAUACCGCAUAACAAAAUUAACCGCAUGGUUGAUUUUUAAAAGAUGGCUUCGGCUAUCACUUCUGGAUGGACCCGCGGCGUAUUAGCUAGUUGGUGAGAUAAAGGCUCACCAAGGCAGUGAUACGUAGCCGACCUGAGAGGGUAAUCGGCCACAUUGGGACUGAGACACGGCCCAGACUCCUACGGGAGGCAGCAGUAGGGAAUCUUCCACAAUGGACGCAAGUCUGAUGGAGCAACGCCGCGUGAGUGAUGAAGGCUUUCGGGUCGUAAAACUCUGUUGUUGGAGAAGAACGUGUGUGAGAGUAACUGCUCAUGCAGUGACGGUAUCCAACCAGAAAGCCACGGCUAACUACGUGCCAGCAGCCGCGGUAAUACGUAGGUGGCAAGCGUUAUCCGGAUUUAUUGGGCGUAAAGCGAGCGCAGGCGGUCUUUUAAGUCUAAUGUGAAAGCCUUCGGCUUAACCGAAGAAGUGCAUUGGAAACUGGGAGACUUGAGUGCAGAAGAGGAGAGUGGAACUCCAUGUGUAGCGGUGAAAUGCGUAGAUAUAUGGAAGAACACCAGUGGCGAAGCGGCUCUCUGGUCUGCAACUGACGCUGAGCUCGAAAGCAUGGUAGCGAACAGGAUAGAUACCCUGGUAGUCCAUGCCGUAACGAUGAUGCUAGUGUUGGAAGGUUUCGCCCUCAGUGCUGCAGCUACGCAUUAAGCAUCCGCCUGGGGGAGUACGA
rnacentral:rRNA from 1 species